UACGUAGGGUGCGAGCGUUGUCCGGAUUUAUUGGGCGUAAAGAGCUCGUAGGCGGCUUGUCGCGUCGACUGUGAAAACCCGCAGCUCAACUGCGGGCCUGCAGUCGAUACGGGCAGGCUAGAGUUCGGUAGGGGAGACUGGAAUUCCUGGUGUAGCGGUGAAAUGCGCAGAUAUCAGGAGGAACACCGGUGGCGAAGGCGGUUCUCUGGGCCUUACCUGACGCUGGAGGAGCGAAAGCGUGGGGAGCGAACAGG
rnacentral:rRNA from 1 species